GCGAGGUCGCGGGCCGAGGACCAGGCGCGGGAGCGGGAGCGGGCGACUGGCCGGGCCCUCCCGGUCUCGGCAGCCACUUCUAGCUCCCGGCCCAGCCGGGAGACGCAGGUGCCACGGAGAUGGGCAGCCGGGCGGGUGGCGCAGUGCAGGCAGCUGUAUCAAUCGCUUCCCCUCCAGGGACCCGCCGGUGCCUGGGGACCGCGGGCUGUGCAGCUGUGCCGGGCCUGCGGAGGCCGCCGCCCGGGAGCUGGGAGGCAGGGGGCGCGUGGUCAAGAGCCGCCCUCGACCUGGCCUGGUCGGUCCUGGCCCGGCGUAGGUGACGAUGGCGGGGACCGCGAGGCGCCGGACACCCGAGGCCACGAGCAGCGUCGCCCCUCGCUUUUUCGCGCCCCUCCAGCCCUGCAGUCCUUCCUCUAAGUCCGUCUGCCCCUCACCGAUUGAAAGUGGCCCCGAGAAUAUUGGAUGAGUGAUCUGGUGUCAGGACUGUAAAAUACGCCUAUGAAAACUGGGGGAGAGGAAUAAAACAAGCUGGCAGAACGUUUUUCAUCGUUGAAGCUGCGUGAUGCGAGCAUAUGUGCUCAUCAUACAGUCUCUUUACUUGUGUAUCUGAAAUUUUCCAUAAUAAAAAGUUUAAAGAAGUGAA
rnacentral:lncRNA from 1 species